GUUCUGUAUCGAUCAAAGGGACCAUAGUACACGAGGAACACACACACACACUAUCAGAUAAUUUGCAGAUUCGAUCUUGUAACUUGAUAAUGCAUUGAGUAAUUUGAUUUACUCGUUUGACUAAUUUUGUAACAUGAUUAAUACGAUGGAGCGGGAUGACAUUUAUGAAUCAUCAAAACACACCUGUGAUUGCCAGAAACGAACUGAACGGGGCAUACAAACAAAAUAGUCGGUUACGACCUUUUUUCAUAAUCGGUCCAUCAUUUUCAGUGCAUUUGUUAGCUACGUAUCGAACGAAUGUGAUUUCGCAACCGUUGCGAGGUGACAUGCGAACAGUUUUAUAGCCCUCGUCGUAAACCAUCACUGGACAGAUAAUUCGAUCGGUGGUAUCUAUAAUUGAGAUAUAAAACUAUAUAACCUUCGGUGGAUAUCCAACAGCUUGAAAGCCCAUCGAGAUAAUCCACAUUAUGGCGCGAUACUGUAACGGUAGCAGCGGAAACGCUCGCACAGUCUGCGUCCAAUGUCCAAACAUCCGACAGCGAAAUCCAAGCCAAGAACAACAUCCAGUUCAGAAAGGCAACACCGAGACCCGCACCCGAACCAGUAUGCACCAAGAACCAAGAGUUGAAAGGUCGCUGUCGCCGGUAUUUAUGGCUUUCUUCCGAUUUCCUGAUGGCCUCGCCCCAGCACUGCCACCAGGGUGGAGCAAUGUCGCAAACGUGCAACGGUGCAGCUAGAGUGAAAACGUAAAUUAAUUUCUAUUAAAAAAAAACUAUCCACAACGGCA